GAUCUUAUAAUUUAAAUAAAAUCUAAGACUGCAAUUCUUAAAAUGCAUAUAAUGCUAAGAUCU
rnacentral:tRNA from 1 species